UACGGCCAUCCCACCCUGAACGCACCUGAUCUCGUCUGAUCUCGGAAGCUAAGCAGGGUCGGGCCUGGUUAGUACUUGGAUGGGAGAUCAGAAGCCAGUUUGUACCAGUGU
rnacentral:rRNA from 1 species